UACGGAGGGCGCGAGCGUUGUCCGGAAUCACUGGGCGUAAAGGGCGCGUAGGCGGCCCUGGUAAGUCUGCGGUGAAAGCCCGGGGCUCAACCCCGGGUCGGCCGCGGGUACUGCCGGGCUGGAGUGCCGUAGGGGCAGGCGGAAUUCCCGGUGUAGCGGUGAAAUGCGCAGAUAUCGGGAAGAACACCCGUGGCGAAGGCGGUUCUCUGGGACGGUACUGACGCUGAGACGCGAAAGCGUGGGGAGCGAACAGG
rnacentral:rRNA from 1 species